CCUGGUGGCUCAGAUGGUAAAGAAUCUGCCUGCAAUGCAGGAAAUCCAGGUUCAAUCCCUGGGUCAGGA
rnacentral:tRNA from 1 species